AUUGAACGCUGGCGGCAGGCCUAACACAUGCAAGUCGAGCGGAUGAAGGGAGCUUGCUCCUGGAUUCAGCGGCGGACGGGUGAGUAAUGCCUAGGAAUCUGCCUGGUAGUGGGGGAUAACGUCCGGAAACGGGCGCUAAUACCGCAUACGUCCUGAGGGAGAAAGUGGGGGAUCUUCGGACCUCACGCUAUCAGAUGAGCCUAGGUCGGAUUAGCUAGUUGGUGGGGUAAAGGCCUACCAAGGCGACGAUCCGUAACUGGUCUGAGAGGAUGAUCAGUCACACUAGAACUGAGACACGGUCCAGACUCCUACGGGAGGCAGCAGUGGGGAAUAUUGGACAAUGGGCGAAAGCCUGAUCCAGCCGUGCCGAGUGUGUGGAGAAGGUCUUCGGAUUGUAAAGCACGUUAAGUUGGGAGGAAGGGCAGUAAGUUAAUACCUUGCUGUUUUGACGUUACCAACAGAAUAAGCACCGGCUAACUUCGUG
rnacentral:rRNA from 1 species